CCUGCGUGGAAAGCUGGAGUGUUAACCACUCGACCAAUCCACCCAUGUACAGUACAGUACCCAAUCCCUGUUCAGAGCAGGAGGUUUAUUUCUUUAAGUGUAUAUUUUGUAUCCGUCAUUAAUGUGAUUUUCGUUGGAUUCCCUUCAUGAUAGAUUCUACUUUACUCAUUAUGCAUGUGACAUGUCAUAAAGUUAUUUGCUACCCUUAUAACCUAUAUACUAGUAUCGUACUUGUGAUUUGUGCUAUAGUUAUAUACUACCUUACACAUCGUACUUGUGAUUUGUGCUAUAGUUAUCACCCUUUAUUGCAUAUUCACUAUAUUUUACUAUACACAUGCUAUUUGUGUUAGAGUUAAGGGAUAUGUGCUUUAGCUAUAAUGGUUUAUGACACCUACCAUAUUAUACAAUAUUUACUGAUAGACUUAAGGUGAUAUAUGGGCCUGGCCUAAGUAGAGCAAUAUCUAGUGAAACCGAUUAUAUUUUGUUUGAGUGCAAGAUUAAAAUGUAUGUAUACUAUUUAAUUUAUGUUUACUUCAUGAUCUAAAAUUUCAGGCCCUAUUCCGAACCAAAGAGGACGCUUUUCCAUCUCCAACCGCAGAAUUGCAUCAGAGGUAGUUGAAGGGCACGCCAACAUCCAACAGCCCGAACACGACGGACCAAAGACGCAGAACAUCGUCAGAUCCAUCAACAGGAUAUGCCAGACCAUGCGGCCCAAGGACCCUCAAGAUCUGGAUUUUGAGGUAUCCUACAGUAAUAUUGGACGAAUGUAUUGUAAUUUAAUCAUCCCUGUUCAUUAACCCCUUCUUAAUUUGUUUUGGAUAUAUCUGUUGCAGUUUGGCGUUGUUACUUUCGCUGACUUGUCAAUUGGUUAAAGUUAUGUUCUCCUAUUUUAAUGAAGACCUUUUACACAGAUGGACAGAGACUUUCUUGAUCCACUGCACCCAAAUUCUUUCUGCGGGCCAUCACCGUCGACGGUAAGCCCCAUCUUACCUUGGCAACUGACAGACAACUCGACCUCCUCGCCAAGACCAAGACUUGUUAUAUGGAUGCCACCUUCCGUGUUGUACAUGAACCUUUUACUCAGAAUCCAUAGUUUUGUGCGUUUAGGAAACAGAUACCUUUUGUAGUCUGUUUUAUGUCUGGAAAGCGUAUUCAGAUGUUUAUGAGGUGACUCGUCAAGUUCAAAUUAUUGUUUACUUAAAAUUUACUGAUUUCACUGACAUAUGCCUAUUAUUACCAUCAACUGACAAUUCAGUUUGGAAAAAAAAAAGAGAAAAUGAUUCAGUGUAAUAACAAAUAAGUAUUCAACUACAUGUAUGUAAACUAUACAAGUGAUAAGUGUGUAAGUGAUAGAUAGCAAUACCAAACACAUAUUCACAUAUUUUUUUUUUGGAAUACAUGAAAGUAACAAUAAAGUUUACUUUCUACACAAACGAUUCCUUUGUCAAGUUAUAACUGAGUGAGCGAUUUGUAUUUUUUUUUACCUGUACAACGAUGUGGCGAAAUUGUAAAAUUUUCGUUUCACUAGACUCGGGACGUUUUGCCUAUCGAUUGGGAGCGUAUACACACUGCAUCAGAUAGGUUACAGGUCCUUAGAAGCAUCGACCGUCAGCUUCCAGACAGUUUCAGCUAGUAAAGGAAGCUGGUGUUUGGCAAGUCAUCCGCCAGAGGUAUUCCGACACUAUGACAGGGGAUGUGGUUUUCACUGGACACAGGUUUUCACGAGAUUGUGAAAAUAUUGUAGACUUUAUAUAAUUUUCAACUACACAAUAUACAAACUAUAGAUUUAUUAACUUUAAGACUGCCUACAUUGAGCGAGGGGAUGUGUAUGCAUAUCUACGCCAGGUUCUCUCA